rnacentral:pre_miRNA from 1 species
CCCGCCGAAAUGCGGGUUGGGUUGGGCUAGCCCACAUUUGGUAUUUUGGUUCAAAGUCUCAACCCAACCCAUAUUUUGGCGGG